AUUGAACGCUGGCGGAAUGCUUUACACAUGCAAGUCGAACGGCAGCACGGGGCAACCUGGUGGCGAGUGGCGAACGGUGAGUAAUACAUCGGAACGUGCCCAAUCGUGGGGAUAACGUAGCGAAAGUUACGCUAAUACCGCAUACGAUCUACGGAUGAAAGCGGGGGAUCGCAAGACCUCGCGCGAGUGGAGCGGCCGAUGUCAGAUUAGGUAGUUGGUGGGGUAAAGGCUCACCAAGCCAACGAUCUGUAGCUGGUCUGAGAGGACGACCAGCCACACUGGAACUGAGACACGGUCCAGACUCCUACGGGAGGCAGCAGUGGGGAAUUUUGGACAAUGGGCGCAAGCCUGAUCCAGCCAUUCCGCGUGCAGGAUGAAGGCCUUCGG
rnacentral:rRNA from 1 species